GUGAUUACUAUUUGAAUUUGUGGG
rnacentral:piRNA from 1 species